UAAUAAUAUUGUUCUUUUAGCUAUUGAUUCAUGAUUUGAAAAUAGAUUUUCAAUAAAUAAUUACAAUUGCCACUUCAAGUAAUGGUAAUUGAAAAACAAAUAUCAACACCGAGUGAUCCUGUAGUAUUGGAAAUAUCAAAAGAUGCAAAUGUUUGUAUCUAAAUAAGCAUGCAUGCAUGCAAUAUGUUUUUUUUUUCUUUCUUUCUUUUGAAAAUGGUAAAAUUAUUAGAAGCUCUAAUGUUCAUAACUAUAACUAGGAUAGCCUCAUCAAAAUUUGAUGAGAUCUCUCAAACUUCUUUUGACUACUUUUUCAAAAGAAAGGUUCCAUUUGACCAAUUUUUUUUUAACAUUAUUUCAGUUUUUUUCUUUAUUUUUUGUUUUUUAAAUUUUUGAUUGAUUGAUUGAUUGAUUGAUUGGAUCUCUUGGGUACAUUUCUUUCAUAGUGUAGUUG
rnacentral:lncRNA from 1 species